CCCUGCCAUUUGUACACACCGCCCGUCGCUCCUACCGAUUGAAUGGUCCGGUGAAGUGCUCGGAUCGUGAUGACGUGAGUGGUUUGCCGCUUGCGACGUUGCGAGAAGUCCAUUGAACCUUAUCAUUUAGAGGA
rnacentral:rRNA from 1 species